GCCGUCUGGGUCUGUGGUUGAAAGGCCAUGCCAGAUACGGGCAAAAGGUCCCACGUAAACCGCGCCGGAGAUGCGCGGCGAUCAUGGCGUAUCUUAGAAGUAAGUCCUCCGGUAAUCCGGGUCAAGGCAGGUGUGGGGGCAAAGACCAGGUCAGCCAAACGGC
rnacentral:ncRNA from 1 species